rnacentral:rRNA from 1 species
GCAGUCGAGCGGACAGAUGGGAGCUUGCUCCCUGAUGUUAGCGGCGGACGGGUGAGUAACACGUGGGUAACCUGCCUGUAAGACUGGGAUAACUCCGGGAAACCGGGGCUAAUACCGGAUGGUUGUUUGAACCGCAUGGUUCAAACAUAAAAGGUGGCUUCGGCUACCACUUACAGAUGGACCCGCGGCGCAUUAGCUAGUUGGUGAGGUAACGGCUCACCAAGGCAACGAUGCGUAGCCGACCUGAGAGGGUGAUCGGCCACACUGGGACUGAGACACGGCCCAGACUCCUACGGGAGGCAGCAGUAGGGAAUCUUCCGCAAUGGACGAAAGUCUGACGGAGCAACGCCGCGUGAGUGAUGAAGGUUUUCGGAUCGUAAAGCUCUGUUGUUAGGGAAGAACAAGUACCGUUCGAAUAGGGCGGUACCUUGACGGUACCUAACCAGAAAGCCACGGCUAACUACGUGCCAGCAGCCGCGGUAAUACGUAGGUGGCAAGCGUUGUCCGGAAUUAUUGGGCGUAAAGGGCUCGCAGGCGGUUUCUUAAGUCUGAUGUGAAAGCCCCCGGCUCAACCGGGGAGGGUCAUUGGAAACUGGGGAACUUGAGUGCAGAAGAGGAGAGUGGAAUUCCACGUGUAGCGGUGAAAUGCGUAGAGAUGUGGAGGAACACCAGUGGCGAAGGCGACUCUCUGGUCUGUAACUGACGCUGAGGAGCGAAAGCGUGGGGAGCGAACAGGAUUAGAUACCCUGGUAGUCCACGCCGUAAACGAUGAGUGCUAAGUGUUAGGGGGUUUCCGCCCCUUAGUGCUGCAGCUAACGCAUUAAGCACUCCGCCUGGGGAGUACGGUCGCAAGACUGAAACUCAAAGGAAUUGACGGGGG